CACAGGGAGCUUGCUCCCUUAGGUCAGCGGCGGACGGGUGAGUAACACGUGGGUAACCUGCCUGUAAGACUGGGAUAACUCCGGGAAACCGGGGCUAAUACCGGAUGCUUGAUUGAACCGCAUGGUUCAAUCAUAAAAGGUGGCUUUUAGCUACCACUUACAGAUGGACCCGCGGCGCAUUAGCUAGUUGGUGAGGUAACGGCUCACCAAGGCGACGAUGCGUAGCCGACCUGAGAGGGUGAUCGGCCACACUGGGACUGAGACACGGCCCAGACUCCUACGGGAGGCAGCAGUAGGGAAUCUUCCGCAAUGGACGAAAGUCUGACGGAGCAACGCCGCGUGAGUGAUGAAGGUUUUCGGAUCGUAAAACUCUGUUGUUAGGGAAGAACAAGUACCGUUCGAAUAGGGCGGUACCUUGACGGUACCUAACCAGAAAGCCACGGCUAACUACGUGCCAGCAGCCGCGGUAAUACGUAGGUGGCAAGCGUUGUCCGGAAUUAUUGGGCGUAAAGCGCGCGCAGGCGGUUUCUUAAGUCUGAUGUGAAAGCCCCCGGCUCAACCGGGGAGGGUCAUUGGAAACUGGGGAACUUGAGUGCAGAAGAGGAGAGUGGAAUUCCACGUGUAGCGGUGAAAUGCGUAGAGAUGUGGAGGAACACCAGUGGCGAAGGCGACUCUCUGGUCUGUAACUGACGCUGAGGCGCGAAAGCGUGGGGAGCGAACAGGAUUAGAUACCCUGGUAGUCCACGCCGUAAACGAUGAGUGCUAAGUGUUAGAGGGUUUCCGCCCUUUAGUGCUGCAGCAAACGCAUUAAGCACUCCGCCUGGGGAGUACGGUCGCAAGACUGAAACUCAAAGGAAUUGACGGGGGCCCGCACAAGCGGUGGAGCAUGUGGUUUAAUUCGAGCAACGCGAGACUUACAGUCUUGACAUCUCUGACACCCUAGAGAUAGGGCUUCCCUCCGGGGCAGAUGACAGUGUGCAUGCUGUCGUCAGCUCGGUCGUGAGAUGGUGGUAGUCCGCAACGAGCGCAUCAUGAUCUAGUGGCAGCAUUCAGUUGGCACUCUAAGGUAACUGCGGUACAACCGAGAGUGUAUGACCAUCUUCAUGC
rnacentral:rRNA from 1 species